AUUGAACGCUGGCGGCAGGCCUAACACAUGCAAGUCGAGCGGAGCGGCGGACGGGUGAGUGAUGCCUAGGAAUCUGCCUGGUAGUGGGGGAUAACGUCCGGUAACGGGAGCUAAUACCGCAUACUAUCAGAUUAGCCUAGGUGGGAUUAGCUAGUUGGUGGGGUAAAGGCCUACCAAGGCGCCGAUCCGUAACUGGUCUGAGAGGAUGAUCAGGCACACUGGAACUGAGACACGGUCCAGACUCCUACGGGAGGCAGCAGUGGGGAAUAUUGGACAAUGGGCGAAAGCCUGAUCCAGCCAUGCCGCGUGUGUGAAGAAGGUCUUCGGAUUGUAAAGCACUUUAAGUUGGGAGGCGUUACCAACAGAAUAAGCACCGGCUAACUUCGUGCCAGCAGCCGCGGUAAUUC
rnacentral:rRNA from 1 species